GGGCUAGUGGUUCUUAAAGGGACUGUGCUCUGAGUGCACAUGUCCAGACACAGGGUGCAAAUCAAUGAAAAGACCGACGUGAUGUGCCCAUCUUCACCUCAGGCAGCUGAUCGGAAGUAUGUAACAGAUCAAUGAGAAGAUCACUGCCCCUCCAGGUCCUGCAUCACCUCCUCAGAGUGGCUGCGGACCAUCAACUGUGGAGACAGAGCUACUUCUGCUGAGCCCUCUACAGGUCAGGAGACAGCUCCAACAUAAAGCAUGGCAUACCUUCCUUGACCUGGUUCCUGCCAAGCAUUCCAGAUCCUUCCCUCGUGACAUCCACUCCUCCUCUCCCUAUACCCUGUAAUCCAGCCAUAUGAAGAUUUACUUGUUGGUUUUAUGUCUUGGGGUCUUCGCAUGCCAGGGCUCUGUCUUCCUGGAAUGGCUUUCCUUGUGCUGCCUUCCAGACAGACUGCAAUGAAGCUUGGGAGAUGCAGCUCUAGCAUUUACUCCUCGGUCAAGCCCCCCGGCAGAGCUUGAUUCCCUGUUAUGUCACAGCUAGGCUUUGUGUAUUUUCUCUUACAGCCCAUCUCAACGCAUUGCAAUAUUUUGCAAUCUGCACUUUACUUCUAGAACAUUAGCUCAGACACUUGCCAGUUGUGUUUCGCAUGCUCAGGCCAGCACACAAAAGUAAG